rnacentral:rRNA from 2 species
GCAGUCGAACGCGUUGGCCCAACUGAUUGAUUGUGCUUGCACAGGAUUGACGUUGGUUUCCCAACGAGUGGCGGACGGGUGAGUAACACGUAGGCAACCUGCCCCGAAGCGGGGGACAACAUUUGGAAACAAGUGCUAAUACCGCAUAACAACUUUGACCGCCUGGUCAAAGCUUAAAAGAUGGUUUCGGCUAUCACUUCGGGAUGGGCCUGCGGCGCAUUAGCUUGUUGGUGGGGUAACGGCCUACCAAGGCGAUGAUGCGUAGCCGAGUUGAGAGACUGAUCGGCCACAAUGGGACUGAGACACGGCCCAUACUCCUACGGGAGGCAGCAGUAGGGAAUCUUCCACAAUGGGCGCAAGCCUGAUGGAGCAACACCGCGUGAGUGAAGAAGGGUUUCGGCUCGUAAAGCUCUGUUGUUGAAGAAGAAUGUGCAAGAGAGUAACUGUUCUUGUAUUGACGGUAUUCAACCAGAAAGUCACGGCUAACUACGUGCCAGCAGCCGCGGUAAUACGUAGGUGGCAAGCGUUAUCCGGAUUUAUUGGGCGUAAAGCGAGCGCAGGCGGUUUUCUAAGUCUGAUGUGAAAGCCUUCGGCUUAACCGAAGAAGUGCAUCGGAAACUGGAUGACUUGAGUGCAGAAGAGGGCAGUGGAACUCCAUGUG